UCGAUGUCUAGGGGUUCUGAGAGGAUUGUCCCCCACACUGGUACUGAGACACGGACCAGACUCCUACGGGAGGCAGCAGUGAGGAAUAUUGGUCAAUGGGCGAGAGCCUGAACCAGCCAUGCCGCGUGCAGGAUGAAGGUUCUAUGAAUCGUAAACUGCUUUUCUACAGGAAGAAACCUACCCUCGUGAGGGUAGUUGCCGGUACUGUAGGAAUAAGCACCGGCUAACUCCGUGCCAGCAGCCGCGGUAAUACGGAGGGUGCAAGCGUUAUCCGGAUUUAUUGGGUUUAAAGGGUGCGUAGGCGGAAUAUUAAGUCAGUGGUGAAAUCCUGCGGCUCAACCGUAGAACUGCCAUUGAUACUGAUAUUCUUGAAUGUAGUUGAGGUAGGCGGAAUGUGUAAUGUAGCGGUGAAAUGCUUAGAUAUUACACAGAACACCGAUUGCGAAGGCAGCUUACUAAACUAUGAUUGACGCUGAGGCACGAAAGCGUGGGGAGCGAACAGGAUUAGAUACCCUGGUAGUCCACGCUGUAAACGAUGAUCACUCGUUGUUUGCGAUAUAUUGUAAGCGACUGAGCGAAAGCAUUAAGUGAUCCACCUGGGGAGUACGUUCGCAAGAAUGAAACUCAAAGGAAUUGACGGGGGCCCGCACAAGCGGAGGAACAUGUGGUUUAAUUCGAUGAUACGCGAGGAACCUUACCUGGGUUUAAAUGUAGGUUGCAUGAACGGGAAACUGUUCUUUCUUUCGGGACUACCUACAAGGUGCUGCAUGGUUGUCGUCAGCUCGUGCCGUGAGGUGUCGGGUUAAGUCCCAUAACGAGCGCAACCCCUAUCGUUAGUUGCCAUCAGGUCAUGCUGGGGACUCUAACGAGACUGCCGGUGUAAACCGUGAGGAAGGUGGGGAUGACGUCAAAUCAGCACGGCCCUUAUAUCCAGGGCUACACACGUGUUACAAUGGUCGGUACAAAGGGCAGCUACCUGGUGACAGGAUGCUAAUCUCUAAAGCCGAUCACAGUUCGGAUCGAAGUCUGCAACUCGACUUCGUGAAGUUGGAUUCGCUAGUAAUCGCGCAUCAGCCACGGCGCGGUGAAUACGUUCCCGGGCCUUGUACACACCGCCCGUCAAGCCAUGGAAGCUGGGGGUGCCUGAAGUCUGUAACCGUAAGGAGCGGCCUAAGGUAAAACUGGUAACUGGGGCUAAGUCGUAACAAGGUA
rnacentral:rRNA from 1 species